GCAUAUCAAUAAGCGGAGGAAAAGAAACCAACAGGGAUUACCUCAGUAACGGCGAGUGAAGCGGUAACAGCUCAAAUUUGAAAUCUGGCUCUUUCAGGGUCCGAGUUGUAAUUUGUAGACGAUGCUUUGGGUGUGGUACCGGUCUAAGUUCCUUGGAACAGGACGUCAUAGAGGGUGAGAAUCCCGUAUGUGAUCGGUCACCUUCGCCCGUGUAAAGCUCGUUCGACGAGUCGAGUUGUUUGGGAAUGCAGCUCAAAAUGGGUGGUAAAUUUCAUCUAAAGCUAAAUAUUGGCCAGAGACCGAUAGCGCACAAGUAGAGUGAUCGAAAGAUGAAAAGCACUUUGGAAAGAGAGUUAAACAGUACGUGAAAUUGUUGAAAGGGAAGCGCUUGCAACCAGACUUGGGCUGUCGCAAUCAUCUGGGGCUCGCCCCGGUGCACUUGUGGCGGCACAGGCCAGCAUCAGUUUCGGUGGUGGGAUAAAGGCCUUGGGAAUGUAGCUUCUUUCGGGGAGUGUUAUAGCCCUCGGUGCAAUGCCGCCUACCGGGACUGAGGACCGCGCUUCGGCUAGGAUGCUGGCGUAAUGGUUGUAAGCGACCCGUCUUGAAACACGGACCAAGGAGUCUAACAUCUAUGCGAGUGUUUGGGUGUCAAACCCAUACGCGUAAUGAAAGUGAACGGAGGUGAGAACCCGUUAGGGUGCAUCAUCGACCGAUCCUGAUGUCUUCGGAUGGAUUUGAGUAAGAGCAUAGCUGUUGGGACCCGAAAGAUGGUGAACUAUGCCUAAAUAGGGUGAAGCCAGAGGAAACUCUGGUGGAGGCUCGCAGCGGUUCUGACGUGCAAAUCGAUCGUCAAAUUUGGGGUAUAGGGGGCGAAAGACUAAUCGAAACCAUCUAGUAGCUGGUUCCUGCCGAA
rnacentral:rRNA from 1 species